rnacentral:rRNA from 1 species
CCUACGGGAGGCAGCAGUGGGGGAUAUUGCACAAUGGGGGAAACCCUGAUGCAGCGACGCCGCGUGGGCGAAGAAGUAUUUCGGUAUGUAAAGCCCUAUCAGCAGGGAAGAAGAAAUGACGGUACCUGAGUAAGAAGCACCGGCUAAAUACGUGCCAGCAGCCGCGGUAAUACGUAUGGUGCACGCGUUAUCCGGAUGUACUGGGUGUAAAGGGAGCGUAGACGGCAGUGCAAGUCUGGAGUGAAAGGCGGGGGCUCAACCCCCGGACUGCUCUGGAAACUGUACGGCUGGAGUGCAGGAGAGGUAAGUGGAAUUCCUAGUGUAGCGGUGAAAUGCGUAGAUAUUAGGAGGAACACCAGUGGCGAAGGCGGCUUACUGGACUGUAACUGACGUUGAGGCUCGAAAGCGUGGGGAGCAAACAGGAUUAGAUACCCCGGUAGUC